rnacentral:lncRNA from 1 species
CGGAGCGGCUGCACAUCGCAACAAUAGCGGCCUCAGUCUGAAACGGUCGGCCGGAUAGAACGCGACUUGUACUGCGGAUUGUCGUGCAAAGAAACGCGAAAUUGCCGAUAAAAGUCGACUUUUAUGUUUUAUCAUUUUUCGAGUGUGCUCGGUUUUGGACAGAUAAAAGCAGAUUUUGGAUAUGGAGGCUGGCAGGUCGCAGCCGUAAUUUUGCCAAGCAGUUGAUGAUGUUAGAUCUCAAUCCAGACAUGCCCGACUGGAAGUGAGCGACCCAUCAUGCGACUGAGGCACUCGCGAUCCAUCUUCUGCUUCUGCUUCUUCAUCCACGUGACCUUGGCUUAUUCGAAAAAUGACUCGCCAGUCAAAAAUGGCCAAAGAACUAAUCCGAAAAAGCACAAUCCGGCUAACGUGGAGAACAGUGGCGUGGCAACACUGAGACACUCAUCAAAGUUUCCCCAUUUGGACCAAAUCAGGACCAGAAUUGCGGGCCUGGAUAGUGAUCGGCGAUUUAGUGAUAGGAG